rnacentral:rRNA from 1 species
GACGUAGGGCGCAAGCGUUGUCCGGAUUUAUUGGGCGUAAAGAGCUCGUAGGCGGCUUGUUGCGUCGACUGUGAAAACCCGCAGCUUAACUGCGGGCCUGCAGUUGAUACGGGCAGGCUAGAGUUCGGUAGGGGAGACUGGAAUUCCUGGUGUAGCGGUGAAAUGCGCAGAUAUCGGAAGGAACACCAGUGGCGAAAGCGGCUUCCUGGUCCAGCACCGACGUUCAGGCGCGAAAGCGUGGGGAGCGAACAGG